GUUUAUUUUUCUCUCUCUAUCUGCAGCAGAUGAAGCGCAUCAUCAUCAUCAUCUUCAUCAUCAUGUGAUCAUUUCAUGCUUCUGUGUAAAGCGUUAAUUAAUUCCGCUUUAGCUAAAGCUGCAUUUUCCUUUUUUAUAACUGAGCCGUAUCGGAGGCGGGCCCAGUGUCAAUCAUUUGGCGCGGGAGCCAAUCACCUUACUGCUUUGUUGCAGCAUCAGCCAAUCACGUAGCAGCUCCACUGUGUCCUGUGCAGCUCAGUGCUGCUGAAGCGCGAGACGGUUUAUUGCUGCAGGGACGCUGUUAACAACAAACUUUAUAUUAGCUUUAAAAUCAUCAAAUCACUUUAAUAAAACGUCGCUUUUACAGACUUUUACAGUAAAAACAUCAGUCAUGGCGUCAAGUGAUUAUUCUCAGAGCUCCAGUCAGGGCGGGUAAGUAUCAUUAAUAAAUUAUUAUUAUUAAUAAAUCAUAAAAUAAUAUUAAAAUGAGAGUCUGUGUAGUUUAGAUUAAACUGUGAGUCUAUAAUAUUUAUUUAUUUAUUUAUUUAAUUUAUUUUAUUUUUACCUCAUUAAUUUGCCUUUUAUUUAAAUUGUAAACUGAAAAUAAAGAAUAUUUUGGUUUCUGUUAUUGUGUCUGAUCUUUAUAGUUGUUUAGAAAUCCUAUAUGUACAGCCUCAUUAACAUACACACACUGACCACUUUAUUAGGAACAGCUGCUCAUUUAUGCAAUUAUCCAAUCAGUCAAUCACGUGGCAGCAGCACAAUCAUAAACUCAUGCAGAUGCAGGUCAAGAGCUUCAGUUAAUGUUCACAUCAAACAUCAGAACGUGGAGAAAGUCUGAUCUCUGUGACUUUAACCGUGGCAUGGUUGUUGGUUUGAGUAUUUCUAUAUCUGCUGAUCUUCUGGGAUUUUCACACACAACAGUCUCUAGAGUUUUACAUAGAACGGUGCGAAAAACAAAAAACAUCCAGUGAGCAGCAGUUCUGUAUUUAGAAACGCCGUGUCGAUGAGAGAGAUCAGAGGAGAAUGGCCAGACUGGUCAGAAAGGCUACAGUAACUCACAUAACCACUCUGUACACCUGUGGUGAGCAGAAAAGCAUCUCAGCAUGCACAACACAUCGAAGCUUGAGGAGGAUGAGCUACAACAGCAGAAGAUCACAUCAGGUUCCACUUCUGUCAGCCAGGAACAGAAAGCUGAGGCUCUCAUGGGCACAGGCUCACCAACACUGGAGCGGUGAAGAUGGAGAAACGUAGCCUGGUGUGAUGAAUCUGGAUUUCUGCUGAGGAACACAGAUGUUAGGGUCAGAAUUCAGCACCAGCAGCAUGAAUCCAUGGACCCAACCUGCCUUCAGCAGUCCAGGGUGGUGGAGGUGGUGUGAUGGUGUGGGGAAUGUUUUCUUGGCACGCUUUGGGCUCGUUAAUACCAAUCAAUCACGGCUCGAAAGCCACAGCAGCUUAUCUGAAUAUUGUUGCUGAACAUGUGCAUCCCUUCAUGGCCACCAUUUACCAUCUUCUAAUGGCUUAUCAUUCCAGCGUGAUGAUGCACCAUGUCACAGAGCAAACGUCGUCUCAAACUGGUUUCAGGAACAUGAUGAUGAGUUCAGUGUUCUUCUUCAGUAACCUUCCCUGAAGAAAAGAAAAAUCUGCAGGAACCGCAUGAUACGAUCAUCUGAACAUGGAGCAGAAUCUCAAAGGAACAUCUCCAAAAUCUUGUGGAAUCCAUGCCAUGAAGAACUGAGGCUGUAUAGAGAGAUUGAGAGCCCUACCCAGUGUUAGUGUAGUGUUCCUAAUAAAGUGCUCACUUAAGAAAUUUGUUGAUCAUCACAACAUUUUAACUGAAUUUAAUCCACAUGCUGUAUUUUUAUUUUUGUUGCUUGUUUGGAGGUUACUGGUUAAUGAACAUUUGUCACUUUACUGGUAAAUAUUUAUUUUGGAGUUUUUAUAAUAAUAAUAAUAAUAAUAAUAAUAAUAAUAAGUUUAUUUUAUAUAGCGUCUUUGUGCAAACUCAAGGUCACGUUACAAUAUGAAAAUAGAUAAACAUGACAGCAGACAAAGAUCAAAAGGAAAUAAACAAAAAAUCCACGGCAUGAAUCGGCUCAUACAGUCAGUUAUCAGAAAAACAAGAAAGAAAAAGAUGUGUUUUAAGGUUGAAAUCCUGUAAUGAAGAAAGAUCACGUAUGUUUUUGGGAAGAGAAUUCCAGAGUGUGGGGGCAGAGAUACAAAACGCUCGUCCACCACACUGUAAAACCCGAUAAGUUAAUAUAACUCAAAUAAAUUAGUCCAAACUGAUUACAUAAAAAACUUUAAGUGAGAAUAACUGAGUUUUGUAAGUCAAAGAAACACUUUUUAUUAAGUAACUUUUAUUAACAAAUUAUUUUUAAUUGACACUAACUUGACUUUGCAAGUUAUAGAGACAGUUUUUAUUAAGUAAUUUUUACUUGGUGUUUUGUUUCCAGAAUACAAAUCAAAAUCAAGUAUUGUUAACUUGUACAUAUUAAUUCCAUGUAACAAAAAGUAAUUAGUUGCUCAGUAGAAAUUUUUUUAAUGUCAAGUUUACUUGUAGUUUUGAAGUUAGAUGAAGCUGUAUACACUCUGCUGUAACUUAAAACUUUGCUUAAUUGCAGCUCAAAAUUGUAUAACAGAGUACUUAAUUUUUUUUUUUGAAACUGAUUACAUAAAUUGUUUUAAGUAGCUUUAACUCAAUCUGUUAAUCCGCACAUUUUAACAAAAGAUUAAAUGACAGAAGGCAAUUUAAAUGCAAGUUACUUUUUUAUUAAGUAAACAUAAAUCAUUGCUCAAACACAAACUCACUCAAAAAUGUCUGACUAAUGGAAAUAACAUUCUUCACAAACAGUGAAACAGUAAGAAAAACUGCCUUAAAUGUUUUAAAAUCUCACUUCUAGAAGUUGACAACAUGAAUAAAAUACUUGAGCACAGUA